AUGAAGCAUCUCAGGGCAAGGCCAGAGAGGAGAGAGAGAGACAGUGGAUUUCUUUUGGCUAGUAUCUCUCUCUUGUCUUUGCAGCCAACACCUGGGGGUGCAGUUAUGCAAGGUUGGAAUGAAUCCAGACAUAGAGAGUUCCAGGUCUGGAGCUCAAUUUCUUACCAAUAUUUUACAACUCAGAGUGAGAGAGAAACAAAGAUCUUUAAAGGAGACUGGCAGAAUAUGGUACUCAUAAAUCCAAGCUGGACAAAAGUGUGUGGAGUUUUUUCCUGUCAUGUCUCUGUUCAGGAACCUCCUCAUCCAAUUUCAACCACACCUGACAGCAGUAAUCACCCCCAAAGCACUCUGCUUUGGCAAAAUUCAUGGAAAACUGAGAGUCAAAAAGAAAGAACUCUUGGUGCCCCUGCAUGGCAAAAGGAUGGGGCAAGAAUUCACUCAUUGGUCAUGACUGGAGUGCUGGAUCAGAAAAUCAGCCUGAAGCCCCCAUCUCAGCCCCCAGAAAUCCUAUCUCUACUGCCACCAUGGUUUGUUUCCUUCCCUUGCAGGCAGCCUGAAGUCCAGGUCUUCCUCAGACACUUCAGUGGCCUGAACUGUGAGAGAAGCAGCCUUGUUUACAGCUCACUCUUCCAUGUAGACGUCUUACUGGCCACCAGGAAAAAUGCUAAUGACAACAUUUUAACUCUCCUGGAUUUAAACUGA
rnacentral:lncRNA from 1 species